rnacentral:rRNA from 1 species
CCCGACUCCAUGAAGCUGGAUUCGCUAGUAAUCGCGCAUCAGCCACGGCGCGGUGAAUACGUUCCCGGGCCUUGUACACACCGCCCGUCAAGCCAUGGAAGCCGGGAGUGCCUGAAGUGUGCAACCGCAAGGAGCGCCCUAAGGUAAAACCGGUGACUGGGGCUAAGUCGUAACAAGGUAUC